rnacentral:lncRNA from 1 species
ACACUCCAGUGUGGCUUCCACUCCCCCACCUUAUGAGAACCUUAUUUUAAAUGCUUUUAACCUUUGUGACAUUCCUCAGCAGUGAUGGAUUGAGAGACGGCUACAGAUUUCUGGAGAAAAAUAAUACAAUGGGAUAUGCUUGUGUUCACACAACUCAUCAAGGCCACCCUCAAGAUUGCCUGGCUUAUUUUGUAACACCCUAAAAGGAUGAUUUCAGGUCUCCUAUAUUCUCCUCACAGGUCUCUGACCUUUCUCCAUCCUCUGCCAUUUCAGAGAAUGAUCCUCUAUCUCUAUCUGAUUUUGCCGAUAAAAUAGAAGCUUCAGAGAAACAUCUACCACUCUCAUGACUAAUUAUGCAUACCUACUCACACAGGCACUCAGAUUCACCCAUUUUCCUACUCUGAAAAUGGAGGAAGUAUCGCUCCUCCUGUCUUUCUUACUUUUCAACUUCUCAUCAACUUCAUGGCUGGAGAUUAUCUUCCCUUGCCUCCUACGCUGCAUCUCUCCUCUACUAGAUUCUAUCUCUUAGCACUUAAGUACGCCUUACUCAUUCCCUUAGAAAAAAAGAAAUAAAGUCCUUAGACCCCACAUUCUCCUAAGCUACUCUUCUAUGGCUUUUGUCCUCUUAACUCUUAUAAAGAAUUCUCUAUCUUCACUGUCUCUACCUUCAACUGACUCUUCAACCCAUCCAGUGUGCUUCUGCUACACCA